CGGUCGUCAAUAUGAACAGCAUUCAGUGAAACUGCAGUGUACUGUUUGCAUAUAGGUUUUAUUUGCCAAGUUCUAUAUUCAGCUUGACCUUGUACCAUAAAAACAUCCACAUCUUGGGCAGCAAUUGAUAUGGCAAUAACGCUACGAACUAUGCCAUGCAUUUUGGUACAACCUUCCUUGCUGCUAUCUAGCAGCAAAAACCUCCUUUUUAGUUUGACAACCAAAGAAUGUACUCGCAUCUUGCUGCCUCCACUGAAUCAAACGUAUCAGAAAUU
rnacentral:lncRNA from 1 species